rnacentral:rRNA from 1 species
AAGGUGGGGAUGACGUCAAGUCCUCAUGGCCCUUAUAGGUGGGGCUACACACGUCAUACAAUGGCUGGUACAAAGGGUUGCCAACCCGCGAGGGGGAGCCAAUCCCAUAAAGCCAGUCGUAGUCCGGAUCGUAGUCUGCAACUCGACUACGUGAAGUCGGAAUCGCUAGUAAUCGUGGAUCAGAAUGUCACGGUGAAUACGUUCCCGGGUCUU